rnacentral:rRNA from 1 species
GACAGAGGGUGCGAACGUUGUUCGGAAUUACUGGGCGUAAAGCGCAUGUAGGCGGCAGCGCAAGUCGGGCGUGAAAUCCCACGGCUCAACCGUGGAAGUGCACUCGAAACUGCGCAGCUAGAGUCCUGGAGAGGAAGGUGGAAUGCUUGGUGUAGAGGUGAAAUUCGUAGAUAUCAAGCGGAACACCGGUGGCGAAGGCGGCAUCCUGGACCGGUAUUGACGCUGAUGCGCGAAAGCCAGGGGAGCAAACGGG